GACGAGGGGUCCUAGCGUUGUUCGGAAUCACUGGGCGUAAAGCGUAUGUAGGCGGGCUCCUAAGUCGGGUGUGAAAUCCCAUGGCUUAACCAUGGAAUUGCAUUCGAAACUGGGAGUCUUGAGUGUGGGAGAGAUUGGUAGAAUACCUAGUGUAGUGGUGAAAUACGUAAGAUUAUUAGGUGGAAUACGGAGCGAAGGCG
rnacentral:rRNA from 1 species